GUGGUGAUGGUGAUGGUGUGAAGUUUGCAUGCUUCACAGUUUUGUGGAUAUGGGAGCUGUUGGGGUGCGAGGAGGACACUCCUUCAUCUUCUUCUUCUUCUCCUCCUUCUGUGUAAUCACCGCUCAGGAAAUUGGACGUGAAAUGUUCCUCAUGUAUCCGGAGUGAGUUAUGGACGCAGCCUACAGUAGUGAAGCAAAUUAAAACAAGUGAAUCCAAUUACUGUUUAUGGAAAGCAGCUGCCCGGGCCGCAGCAACAAAAAAGAAAGAAGAAGAAAAAAAGAGAAUGUGCGACAUCAGCUCGUGUCUUUGAAUAGGAAUAUUCCGACAGACAGCGAACAGAGAAGCAGCGGUGGCCCCGUGAGGAGAUGACGUCCACCGGUGAGUGACGUGUGAGUCAUGAAGGUUCGUCGCCGUUGUGAUUCUGCACCACUGACGACGAAGCAACAUCCAUCAGCAGGAAGCACACACGUCCUGCAGUUAAGACUUCAGCAGAGGAGGACACGAGAGCAGCUGGCAGACCAAGGCAUCAUGCCUCGUGAGUAACGCCGACACUCCGACA